AUGGGCUCUCGCAAUCGGCAUACCACCCUAGUCUUGGUGUUGCUAUACCUCGUCUAUGCGCCGCGCUGGGCCUUGUCGCCCUCCUUCAACCUCAACUUCUCCGACCCCGGUGCAAGUUCAUGGAUCACCUUCGCCGGUGAUGCUUUCCCCACUGCGUCAAUGCUUGAGCUGACAAGAAAUACACAUGAGCGAGCUAUAAAUGAAAGCGUCGGCCGGGCGUGGUACUCGUACAAAGUGCCGCUCUGGAGCAACGCCACCGGCGAGAUGGCUAGCUUCACCACCACCUUCUCCUUUCAAAUCAUUCAAGCACAAAGCCUUGAGCUUACAGGCGAUGGGAUGGCCUUCUUCCUCGGCCAUUUCCCUUCGGCGGUCGUGCCUGAAAGCCAGGGUGGCAGCCUAGGCCUACUCCCUGACCCGGCCUUUGCUAACGGGAUAGAUGAUAGCCGGAUCGUCGCCGUUGAGUUUGACAGUUUCCUCAAUGCAAUAUAUGACGAUAUCAACGUGAACCAUGUCGGCAUAGACGUCAACUCCAUCAAGUCCACAGCAUCCACCGACACGACGACCUGGCCGGGCAAGAACCUCACGUCGUCCAUUGUGAUGGAAGCCACUGUGACGUACCACAAUGAAUCCAAGAUGUUGGCCGUUGAUCUCCUCAUCGGCGAUGCCUUGUACCAGGUCAAUGCAAUUGUUGAUCUAAGAAGACAUUUACCGGAGCAAGUCGCUAUCGGCUUCUCCGCGGCGAAUGGCGUCCUCGUCGGGCUGCACCGAAUACUGUCAUGGUCAUUCAGUUCCACUCUGGAACUAUCUUCUCCUCUUCAAACCAGCAAAAAUGCCGAUAGAGAUGGCCUCGAGAGAGGUGUGGCGGCCAGCGGCCCAAAGCGGUACAAGUACCGCGACCUAGUCGCCGCAACAAGCAACUUCGCGGAGGAGGAGAAGCUCGGGCGAGGUGGCUUCGGGGGCGUUUAUCGGGGUCACCUCACACAACUUGCAGCCGCCGUCGGUGGUCAGCAAGACCAUCGUGCGGUAGCGGUGAAGGUGUUGUCAACAGAGUCGUCGGAGCAGGGGAGGAGGGAGUUCGAGGCAGAGGUGAAGGUCAUCAGCAUGCUGAAGCAUCGCAACCUUGCGCAACUGCUGGGUUGGUGUGACAGCCGCAAGGGGCUCUUGCUUGUCUACGAGCUCGUCACAGAGGGCAGCCUAGACAAACAUCUCUACAGCAAGGACAAAUGUCUGACAUGGCCACAGAGAUACGAGAUCAUCCUCGGCUUGGGAUCCGCGCUGCACUACCUCCACCGAGAGGGGGUGCAGUGCGUCGUGCACGGCGACAUCAAGCCGAGCAAUAUCAUGCUCGACUCGUCGCACAGCAGCAAGCUCGGGGACUUCGGGUUGGCCCGGCUCAUCGACCACGACACGGGAUUGUUUCAGACCACCAAGGCCGUGCAAGGCACCGUCGGCUACAUCGAUCCGGAGUUCGUCAACACGGGCAGGCGCAGUACCGAGUCCGACGUGUACAGCUUCGGUGUCGUCCUCUUGGAGAUCGUCUGUGGCCGGCCACCAGUGGUUGAAACUGCUGGCAAAACCUUCUCGCUGCUUAGAUGGGUGUGGGGCCUGUACAGCAGGGGUGCAAUCCUUGAUGCUGCGGACCCGCGGCUGAAGGGCGUCGAGGCCAAUGAGUGGUGGAUGGAGCGGGUGCUCGUCAUCGGGCUCUGGUGUGCGUUCCCGUACCGGAGCGAGCGGCCGUCCGUCAUGCAGGCCAUGCACUUCCUGCAGUCCGAGGAGGCGACUCUGCCGGAGCUCCCCCAGCACAUGUACAGGGCUGUACGGCCGGAUCUUGCCUUGUGCAACCGGCAAGGGGAUUACUCUAUCGACGAUGGCCCCCGCCCCGGUUGUGUUGGCUCUUCUUCGGCUAACAUCGGCAACACCAUUCUUUCUGCCGAGUCAUCCUCAACUGCGUUGCUACGACAUUCAAAGUUUCCAACGGUCUAG
rnacentral:rRNA from 1 species